GGGAAGGAAGUGCCGCCGGAGGUGGCAUCCCAGUGGCAAGGCACAGCAUCACCACCACUCAAAAAUGCGUCCAAAAUAAACCAAGAUCCAGAGGAAAGGAAGAGGUUGGCUGUUUCUUCCCUGUUGCCUGGGACUCUACGCGGAUAGAUGUGACAGCAGAUGUGUUUGCUCCCUUGAGAAUGUCCUUUCAGCACUAGUUUUCCCCCCAAGGAAGCAGAUGGAGAGAAGCUAGCCUGUUGCCUCUGCUGCUGCUGCUGCUGCUGCUGCUACUGCUGCUGCUGCUGCUGCUGGCUUCCUGCUGCUGCUGCUGCUAACCCUGGAUUCUCUGGAGAAAUGGGACUAUGGAGCAGGGAGAAGUUGAUUAUCGGAAGACUCUGUAGACCUGCUCACUCAGCAUCCCAAGGCCUUCACUGAAUACUCUGAAAUUUCACCUAAAAAGAGUAGCAAUGGGCUGUCCAUUUGUCCAAAAGAGUGAUACCUCCUGAUCCCCUAGUAAGCAGGACAGCAUGGCAGGAGAAAGUGAGGGUAACCGCAGAGGUGAAUAGCAUAGGGCUUCUGGCCACUGAGUGAUAGUCAAAUCCUUCAGGCUGUGUUUUGACAUAUUCACCAGCAUCCUUUCCUUUUACAGACUGUGUGCUUCCCACCUUUCUGUCACCCCACAGAAAAGCACCUGCUCCACUCUGGCUGUGUUACCCAGGAGAGCAGCAUAAUUGGGUGAAAGCAAAGGAGAGAAAAAAGAUCUGCUUCUUUCUGACUUUGCCGAAGAUUUAAGCCUGGAGGACUCGGUGAACUCCUGUAAUGGAUAAAACAUUUGCUUGAAAGAUGGAGAUUCCCUUUUCCAAAGCAAGGAUGACACAUGAAAGGGAGAGCAUGAGCCUAAUGAGAAAUGGAGGACGGGCCAAGCCUGCUAAAGGCAUGCGGAACACAAAACAUUCUCAGCAAAGGGCAGCUGUGACAUUGUUCAAGCUUUCAGGGCUGAAAGGGAGCUGAGUUUUCAUCCUUGAGCCACCAGCCUGCACCUGAGAUAAUGCCAGCAACUCCUCCCACUGGCAGCCGCAUCCACGGAGCGUUUCCCUUCAUGAGCAGCCAGCAUUCUGUCAAGCGACCACCCAGCCAUGGACAUCUGUCCCAACCUAGAGACUUGGCCUUUGCAGGACUCUUAUAAUCAUCCACACACUGUUGCUGCAUUCCAGAAAAUGAGAGUGGGCCCCUGCAGCUGGAAAUCCCUCAGACCUGCUGCUUAGCAAGACUUAGGAGAACAGAACAAAACCUGGCCUGGGUAUAUUGAAGUCACAGACUCAGACGGAGUCUCUUUGCAGACGUGGCCAGCAGACUCCAUUCUGUCUUUUCAUGCUGUCAUAUUCUUUUGUGGAUGUCUCUGUUUUAAGAUGCGCUUGCCCCAAGCAUCACCAAUUGCCUUUUGUUUCCACACUGCAGGGAAGACUGGGCUAAUCCAUGUGUCACUGGGAAACUUCAGGCCUCUCUGUUUGACAGGUAGCAAGCCUGACAGCAAUCUAUUGAAAAUGCAUUUUAGGCGAUCAUUUUUUCCAGUCUAAUUUGCUCUUAAUAAAAUGACGUUGUAGACAAGACAAA